rnacentral:rRNA from 1 species
AUUGAACGUUGGCGGCAUGCCUAACACAUGCAAGUCGAACGGCAGCACGGGAGCUUGCUCCUGGUGGCGAGUGGCGGACGGGUGAGUAAUGCAUAGGAAUCUGCCCAGUAGCGGGGGACAACUUGGGGAAACUCAAGCUAAUACCGCAUGCGCCCUACGGGGGAAAGCGGGGGACCUUCGGGCCUCGCACUAUUGGAUGAGCCUAUGUCAGAUUAGCUUGUUGGUGGGGUAACGGCCUACCAAGGCGACGAUCUGUAGCUGGUCUGAGAGGACGAUCAGCCACACUGGGACUGAGACACGGCCCAGACUCCUACGGGAGGCAGCAGUGGGGAAUAUUGCACAAUGGGCGAAAGCCUGAUGCAGCAAUGCCGCGUGUGUGAAGAAGGCCUGCGGGUUGUAAAGCACUUUCAGUAGGGAGGAAACAGUAGCCGGUUAAUAUCCGGUUGCCUUGACGUUACCUACAGAAGAAGCACCGGCUAACUCUGUG